GGCGUUACGCAGCAGCAGCAGCAGCAGCGAUCGCGCAAGAGGCAAGAGUUUGCUGCGUGCCUUCCCGAAGCGGUUUUGCGCCCAGAGGAUGGCCGGCUGCGGGCUGUCAGAAGAUGCUUUCUUCUCUUCCUUCUUUUACAACUCCUCCUCCUCCUGGGAAACCUCCUACAACCAGAUCAAGACUAGUGAGAGUUUCAGAGGAGAAUUGAGGAGUGCAAAACUCCUUCAAAAAACCACCCCCCCCCACCCCCAGCCAACCUUUGGUGGAGAUCACUGUGGAUACUGCAGGUAGAU
rnacentral:lncRNA from 1 species